UACGGAGGGUGCGAGCGUUAUCCGGAAUUACUGGGUUUAAAGGGUGCGUAGGCGGCUAUGUAAGUCAGAUAGUGAAAGUUUGCGGCUCAACCGUAAAAUUGCUUUUGAUACUGCAUGGCUAGAAUCAGGAUGAGGUCAGCGGAAUGUGGCAUGUAGCGGUGAAAUGCAUAGAUAUGCCAUAGAACACCAAUUGCGAAGGCAGCUGGCUAGACCUGUAUUGACGCUGAGGCACGAAAGCGUGGGGAUCGAACAGG
rnacentral:rRNA from 1 species